CGCGACCCCAGGUCAGGCGGGUCACCCGCUGAAUUUAA
rnacentral:rRNA from 1 species